GAUAAACAGAAUGGAAAUGCUCAUAAAACAUGAGUCUGGUAACAUUUUGACAUGCAUCUUGAGGCCGUGGGCCCAAAGUGAUUGUCUGGUUGUUCCAGAUGGUUGUGGUCAAAGACAGAGGGGGCCAAGAUUCACAUUUCUGGGUAGCAGCUUGAAUUCUGGAUUAGUUCUGUCUCCUUCGUGGCUUCCCCACUCAGGUUCAUGAAGCUCUUCCAAUCACAGAUCUCCUUUUAUUUGCACAGAAUGUAGCCUGAUAGACCACUUGGAAUGGACAGAAGCUCAUCUGCCAGGAUUGGCCAAGACUCAGCUAUCUGUUACAAAAAUGACAAAACUGAAGCCUCAAGAGCCUGACUUGCUCAUGGUGACAGCAGAAAUGAGAGGAGGACUCAAGAAUUGGACUUCAGAGUUCUCAUGUUCACGGCCAUAUUGAAAUUCCUAUGGGGUCUGCAUUGCAGGACUCCUCCCAGCUACACUGCAGUAUCAGUGGGGACAUGCUUUGCACAUUCUUGCCUUCAGCUCUCUGGCACUAUUUGCUCCAUGAAUUAUUCAAUGGCCUGGUGGCCAUUGCAGGCCAUAUGCAGAUGGCCCUGGAGAAUGCAUGGUGCACAGGGUAAUUCUAGUUUUCCAAUUAGCAGCAAGGUGCUGAGCUGCGAGCCCGAAGCCUACCUAUCUCCAGGAAUGGGUUACAGCUCUUCUCCACAGGGCAGUGCCAGGCUUUGUCAUUUCAUUCACCUCUGCAGUGUCUUCCUCUUGUUCUCCUCCUCCCAGAGGUCAUCUAUUUUCUACUCCCCUGAGAGCUCCAAGGCAAGGCUAAGAGUUAGAGGGGCACACUGCAGCAGAAAUGUGCAAGAGAAAAUGUGUAGGGAAUAAGGAAAGGGGACAUUACUAGAACCUCUGCAGUGGGUCCUAGUGUCCUGCGAGCCAUGGCAGCACAAGACGAAUUAACUUAUUAUACAGGAAAGGUAGAAAAAUGAGACUUUGAGAAGAAGCUGAGCUUUGGGCCUGAUCAGUGCUGCUCUGGGCGGCAAAGAGGAAAGCCCCCAGCUUCCUGCACCUUUUAUUCAGUAGGUCAGGAGAAAUAGAUGUAACAAAUGACUCAGGACAGAGAGUUCAGUGCAUGGGGAUAAACAAGGUGUAACAAUCCAAGAACAAUGAGGAACUGAGAAGAUGAAGAUUUGGUUCCUCCCAGGAUGUCUUCAGCUCGUGUAAUCUUGUCCUGGAGAAUCACAGUAUCACCGGAUCGUUGAGGUCUCAGUUGUGACCUGCGGGCCAAAAUAGAAUUAUGUCUCAAAAUGCCAUAGCUGGCCUGUAGGCAGGAGAAGUAGAAUUUUUCCCUAAAAUUAUGUAGCAUUGCUCCUGACAAAAAUGAAAUGAGAUGAAAGAUCGCCAUGAAGAGGUCUUGGGGGAUUUCGUUAUUCAAAAGAAUUAUGAACAUAAUUCAAAAAAAGCACCAAUGGAGCUGAGCUGAGACGGAGCAUUGCUGUACAUCUUGUUUGAGCAAAUUGGUUCUUCGGUAUCUGAGUACUUGACUUUGUGCAGUGCAAGUCAGUCGCCUUCUUUGCCUCUGUUUCAUAAAGAAGAGGGCAGAGACCAUUUUCACCAACUGUGGGGAGGGUACAGUCACUAGGGAAGGGGUGUAGUCAAUUAUUUGCAGAAUGGCCUUUUGACAUGAAGACAUUGGAUAAGAUUAAUUUUUUGAUCUGUUGCAACAAGUGUGAGGCUAGGGGUAUUGUUCUUUCUUGAGAUUUUUCUCAUCUUGCCAGCAGAAAAAGUUGGGCAUCUUGUAGGAGGCUGAUGCGUCCUUACCUCACAGAUAGUAUGAAUUAUGUACCUGGUAAUGGUGCCCUCUUCCCUCUGGCUGUUUACAGAAGGCAGAACCUCUCUGUCUGCCCAGCUCUGGAAGCACGAGGGAUUUCACAGGAAUGCCUUUUAUGUUCUAGCUUACCCACGGUGCUAUUCUAGUCUAUCUUAUUUUCUUUGUCUUUUUCUCCCCUGGCUUAUGUUUAACUGACUGCCCCUUGUUGAACUGUAUGCAUCUAUGCCAGCCAUCCUUGGUCUUUCCCAAGAUGAAACCAAU
ensembl:lncRNA